rnacentral:rRNA from 1 species
GACGAACGCUGGCGGCGUGCUUAACACAUGCAAGUCGAACGGAAAGGCCCUGCUUUUGUGGGGUGCUCGGGUGGCGAACGGGUGAGUAACACGUGAGUAACCUGCCCUUGACUUUGGGAUAACUUCAGGAAACUGGGGCUAAUACCGGAUAGGAGCUCCUGCUGCAUGGUGGGGGUUGGAAAGUUUCGGCGGUUGGGGAUGGACUCGCGGCUUAUCAGCUUGUUGGUGGGGUAGUGGCUUACCAAGGCUUUGACGGGUAGCCGGCCUGAGAGGGUGACCGGCCACAUUGGGACUGAGAGACGGACCAGACUCCUACGGGAGGCAGCAGUGGGGAGUAUUGCACAAUGGGCGGAAGCCUGAUGCAGCAACGCCGCGUGCGGGAUGAAGGCCUUCGGGUUGUAAACCGCUUUCGCCUGUGACGAAGCGUGAGUGACGGUAAUGGGUAAAGAAGCACCGGCUAACUACGUG